GUGAGGAAUAUUGGUCAAUGGGCGGGAGCCUGAACCAGCCAAGUCGCGUGAAGGAAGAAGGAUCUAUGGUUCGUAAACUUCUUUUGCAGGGGAAUAAAGUGCAGGACGUGUCCUGUUUUGUAUGUACCCUGAGAAUAAGGAUCGGCUAACUCCGUGCCAGCAGCCGCGGUAAUACGGAGGAUCCGAGCGUUAUCCGGAUUUAUUGGGUUUAGAGGGUGCGUAGGUGGUUUGAUAAGUCAGCGGUGAAAGUUUGCAGCUUAACUGUAAAAAUGCCGUUGAAACUGUCGGACUUGAGUGUAAAUGAGGUAGGCGGAAUGCGUGGUGUAGCGGUGAAAUGCAUAGAUAUCACGCAGAACUCCGAUUGCGAAGGCAGCUUACUAAGCUACAACUGACACUGAAGCACGAAAGCGUGGGGAUCAAACAGGAUUAGAUACCCUGGUAGUCC
rnacentral:rRNA from 1 species